CUCUUUCCUAGCUGCUGGGGAUAGGAAUUGGAAUCAGAGCCGGGCCUGAUGGGAGAGGCAGACCCGUGUGAGCGAACAGCCACAUACAGCAUGAGCCAUAGAUCGGUUCGUUUACCCAAAAAAUUCACCGAGCUCCAUGUUUGCCAGGACACUUGCCAUUGGAUUUAGGGCCCACUCAGGCAAUCCAGGAUGGUUUCAUCACAAGAUCCUUAAAUAUGCAAAAACUCCUUUUCCAAAAACUUACUCCAUGAUAUAAGGAGUCCUAAGAAGAAACUUCUAGGAGCUGUGAGUGAGUGGGGACCAAGGGGAAUGGAAUGGAAGGAACAUCAAAGGUUUGGGAUUGGUUGUAUGUUUACUAUGAUGACAGAGGUGAGGAACACAGGUGGUCAUAGGAUAAAACAAUUGUUCUGGUACAGUAAUUGGAAAUGUCCACCAGGCAAAUGCAAAAUACCAUCUGGGAAAAUAAGUAAAUAUAGUAGUAGAAGUAAUUGGAGAGGCCAGUCAUGAAAAUUAAAAAGAAAACAACAAAGUAAAAAGAAUAUAAAAAAAAAAAAAAAAGAAUAUAAACUGGGUUAUUUGAAGAAAGGAUUGUAAUAUGUAACCCUGACGUUAUCAUUUCAAAAAUUAUUGUUUAACUUCAGCUAGGAAGACAAAAGCACCGUGAGUUCUUAUAUCCAAACAUAAAUUCUUGAAGCCAAACAGAUAUGCCUAAAGUAUUCCUCAAAGAUUCCACUGACUUUCUCUUUAAAAGCCCCAUGUUAUCACAGAGAUGCGUGAAUACAUAUAUGUACCAAGAACAAACAUAUUGGCAACUAAUGUUUUGAACCUUCAUCUACUCAGGCCUGCUUUUCUGAAAUAGGUUAUGAAGUUUCCCGUCAGGAGAGAUGGAUACGAAAAAGUCCAUCUGUUUAGGUCCUCAACCCAAGUAGCAAAGAAUUAAUUAUUCAGAUCGGAAAGAGGUGAGGUCAAUUGACGCUAACCCAGACAUUAAGGACUGCCUGCCCCAAGGAAGGCAACGCUUUUGACCGUAUCCCCUUGAAACAGCUAUGAUGUAUUUUCUUUCCUCUUCUCCUGGAAGCUGACGCCUAUGUAUGUUGAUGUCUAUGUAUGUUUAGAAUUUCUCAGGUAUUUGGCUUGACCAAGGCCAGUUGUGACUUGGGGCCUUGCUGCCAUGCUUGGUACUACAGGUGUUUCCAAUUAGGGCUUCAUUAGGGUGCAGGCGUGGUUAAGGCUUUGGAUCACAGGACCAGGCAAACAGAGCUGUGAGGGGCUUAGGCUUAGCUGAGGAAAGAAAGGCGAAAGGGUGGUCUCCAAACUAGAGAGCUGACUGCCAUUCUAACCUUGACUCCCCCAAUCCAGCGCCCCCUCAAGCUUGGGCCACACCCUAGAGCCUGGUUUUCAAACCACAGCCACCCUGUCCCCUUCCAGUUUCAGGAAAUCAGUUUAGUUGAUUCUUGCCAGCAUGGAAAACAAAGCAAAGCAAAAAAAAUGAACAAGCCAAAACAAAUCACUAAAGAGCAACAGAACGGGAAGGACCAGGCUGUCCUGCAUGGUAAAGAUUGGAGGCUCCUGGGCUGGAGAGGGACAGAAGAGAUCCUGGCGUGGAGCUCUGUGGAGUACGUGCUUGAGAAAUAACUAUUUGAACCUGACAAACAUUUGAUCUGUCGACGUGGCCCCUGCGUUCUUCCCCGAUCUAAGAUGAAGAAACGGGGGCACUGAGAGAUGGCCCAAGGGCCCCCAGCUGACUAUGCCCCCUGGGAAUAAGAACCAACUCUCCUGACCCAAGACCAAUGCUCUUCCCUUUUGCCUCCAUCCUCAGCUUGCCCCCAGUUGGAAAUGAGCUGCUGCCAUCCGAUUUUGAAGUCUAUCAUUUCUUCCCUUUGCGAUCAGUUUGUAUUGAUUUUCUUACGAGUACAAAAUAAAUUGUUCAACACUAUUCCUGUACCAACUUGUGCCAGCAGUAAUGGUACCUAAGAUGUAGAAAGGGUUAAUUUACCAGUUGGUGACUUCGGAGUGGUCUAGAGUUGACCUCAUCAACUCUGUGGUCCUUAAGCACUCAGGACACUUCCUACUUUAAUGCGCACGAGAGUCAGCUGGGAAUCUUGUGAAAAUGCAGGUUCCGAUUCAAGAUGCCUAGCUGGGGACCGAGAUUCUGCGUUUCCAACAAGCAGUCCGGUGACGCUCAUAUUACUGGUCCAUGGACCACACUUGAGUAGCGAGGGUCUAGGCGCCUCUGCUCCACUUUGCUCAGCACAACUGCAAGAGAAACCUCAGAGUCAAAGCUGGCAUUUCCUUUCUUCCCUUCCCUAUUGCCCUACUCCCCUCCUUUGGAAGAAUCCAGCUUAAAAAAAGAAAACGUUAUGAAACACGAGUGCGAAGCCUGAAUUACAGUGUUAGGCACGUAAUUAUCUGGGCAAAAAACAGAUGUUUCAGACUCGGGGUUAGCUCAGCCCGCUGCCGGGGCCACAUGGUAAAGUCUCUUGAUGGAAGAGCCAACCAAGGCCACACAGUUUAUGCCAAGAGAAAAAGGGGUGCGUGUGUCUGAAACUCGGGGAGGGAAGUGAGUAAGGGUUACCGUUGCAUAAAUAAUAUAGGAAGCGUCUCCCCGCCAGACUGCAAGCUGAGACUCCUGCGUGCUAAUCUCGGGUGCAAGGGUGACUCGGUCUGCGUCUGCAAAUGAAAGCUUGCAUCCUUGGCUGGGAAAUAAUAAUAGGAAAAAGCCUGCCCCAUGCUGGAGCUUUUCCUCUGUGAGGAGCUGCCGCUAUCCACUGUUAAGAUCCUUUGAUUGAGCCAUCCUGAAGGAAGGCGCAAGCGUGAACUGGGACUUGGUUUGGGAAAGGUGGCAGAAACAGUCUGUAGAGAGCAGGAUUCUUUAUUUUUUUAAUUAAAAAAAAUUUUUUUAAACAUCUUUA